GCGCCAAAGCUGCUGUCGAGGUUGGUGGUAAGGAUCUUCUAUUAUAGAGAAAAUCAUCGGCGGCACCGCCCUCACGGACGACAGUGAUGGGAAUUCCUUCUGAUCUGCGAGACGCAUGGGUGAGCAAGCGGAGUUCCUCCAUCAUCGCAUCAUCUCCCAACGAGCAAUCUCUCACCGGCAUCGAUAGACCUCAUGACGGCGAACCCCUCGGACGAUGAUGCUGGUGUGACAAUGUGGACACCCACUACAUAUUCAUGCACCGCACUCCCCUUCCCCCAAAGAGAGCUCCCAUGGGCCCCUGUUGCCAGCAGCCCUCCAACAGUAACCCCCCACCAGUACGGCCCAUAAGGCAGUGCGAGCCCCACCACCGCCGCGGCCUCAAUCAGCUCCUUCA
rnacentral:misc_RNA from 1 species